CCUUUUCACGUGAUGCGGAUAGUCGCUUA
rnacentral:sRNA from 1 species